UACGAUUCGUUAACUUUUUUGUCCCCCAUCCCUCGCCACAACGCGGUUGGGGGUUUGAGUUGGUGGACAUAGAAUUACUGGGCCUACGUACCUCUGUCCAUGUUCCCGUUGGUUGGUCUUGUAAUCACUUUCAAACGUACAAUUCUUGCCAGGUUUUUAUAAAAUGAUAUCAAAGGUUUAUGUUGACAAAGACUUGGACGAGUUCGAAUAUUAGUGCUGAUAAAGUAAAUCAAAUUAAUAUGUUCCUUUGAAAUCAUAUGAAACAUUGCAUUGUAAGGGCUCUCAAAUCUACUUUCUUCAUCAGAUUUUUAUGAAAUUUAUGUUAAAGGUUUAUAUCAGUAAGGUCUUGGACGAAUUCGCUAAUCAGCACCCAUGAACUAUUUUUGCAGGAGUUAUGCCAUUUGUAAAUAUACGGAGUUUGUUCCCAGAGGUAAACAUUGAUGCUAUUUAUGUUUAACCUAUACAGAGAUGAAUCAAUCAAUAUCAUUGGAAACUCCUUGACAGAUUAGUAUGAAAUUCAUGUUUAAAAAAUGGGUUUAUAGAAUAAAUAAAUAUGUAAGUUACCGUUUCAGUCGUUUCUGUUUUCAUUGCUAUAUUAUUAGUGUAUUUUCCAUUCGCCUUUUUUGUAAAUGCAUGCAUGUUUGUCCCAAAAAGCGAAUUGAAACUCGUUCAACCGUAGAAAUGGAUAUGCAUAUUGAUACAAUGUAUUGGGUCCAUUCUAUUCGAUAAUCUUCAAGAGUUAUACUCAAAUAAAACAAAUACAAUAUGUCAGAUAAUUUAAUUGUAAUUGGUCAAUAUAAAUGCCACAUUGGUGUAUUUUUAUGGUUUGUUGUAUGGUCUGAGUAAUAGGGAAUAUAAAGAAGAGAAGACUUAUUCCCUGCGGUGAAUUCAGUACUGUUCAGGACUCGUUUGCAGUCAAUUAAGAUAGUUCAGUCUACCAGAGUAGUUAAGUCUGAAAAUUUAUUAAAUUACUGAACCUGACUGCAUAAUUUAUUGGUCAGACUUUUCAGGAGAUGUUCAGAUCGAAAUAACCGUUUACGACUAGAAUUAAUUUACUAGUGAUACGAUUGUGAAAGGUCAGGUAAAAUAAGGUAACAGUAGUUUAUCGAUGUUCAAAUCUUAUCAAUUGAUUGGGAAGGCAAAUCAACGCAACAAACAAAAACUGAGGGAAUCGCAUGAACUGAAAGAAGCAAAACAAGGUCCUUCGACAGGGUAAGCGUCUCGAACUGUGUUUGCAUCACCCGCCAUACGAAUCAACACUCAGUUAAAAUGUCACAAUCGGGAAUAUGACACACUCGGUAAAAUUACAGAUCAGACUACUUGUAUUCUGGUAUCUAGAGAUAUAAGACUGCGAAAACAGGUUGUAAGUGAGUUCAGAUCAGUAAAGUUUUCUUGUAAGAGGUAAUAAAAUCGAUGUAGACCAGGAUUGAUAGUAUUUAUUACAUUCAUAAGUGGUUUGUAGAUUGAACCGACUUAUCCUUGAUAACUUUUGAAUGGAUUGUACAGAUAUUAUCUGUGUAACGUGCAUGUAUCAGUUGGGGAAUUUGUCUUGCUAAUAUGUAAACAGGAGAUAAAUGAACUACAUUAUAUUAAUAAAACAAAUACAAACAUGUUAUAAUUUAUUCAAUUAAUUGAAAAAAAAGGAAUAACGCAAGGCUCCCGAGAACACUGUUUAACAAGAUGCUAUUGAUAACCACUAACCUGUAUAUUUCUUCUUUUGCAGGAUACAUUUUUUUUCAGUUAUUCAGACAAAAAAAAAUAAAUGGAAAAACUGAUGGAGUAUUCGAAAUUUGUUUUAAUCAUUAUUUGCAUUUCUUUAUUCAUAAUACUGUUCCGUCAUACGAGAUUAAGAACUAUUGAAAAACACGUAGAACCUGUUACUGAUCAAACGACUAGCAAACGCGAUUCAUAUUUUUCUACAUAUUUAGAGGAAAUAAACAAAACAAGGUUAUUAUGUGGCCAGCUGUGUAACACAUCACGAAAAGGAACUCCAGGAAUAUUUUUUGAUAAAAUUACAGCCACUAUAAAUUGUGAAGCUUUAUUUCAAAACGAGUAGUUGAUUCAUCUCAUGGACUUGCUCAUGCUCCAAGAAAAAUACCUUCAAUUUUAUUGAAUGAUUAUACGAUGAAUGGAAAAAUAAAAGUGCACACGGCCUAUUAUAACCAACCCUACCUUGGUAGUACUGCGAGGAUACCUAUUUGGACCAAAUCUUUACUCAAGGAGUAUGUAGUGCUAGCAAAAAAAGGUAAACUGUUUGGUGUUUACGGAAUAUCUGAAACUAACGCACUGAGGGACGGACUACAACAUGCACCAGGAGUGAAAGGAGGGCGUGUCCUAGUCAUAGGAUCUGAAAAACCAUGGGUUGAAGCAUGCUUACUUGAGAUAGGUGCAAAAAAUAUUGUUACACUUGAAUAUGGAAGGAUAAAAUCUGAACAUGAGCAAAUAACAACUAUGGUUCCAUCUGAAUAUAGACGAACAUUUCUAGAUAAUACAUUGGGAUUAUUUGACGCAGUUGUAUCAUUUAGUUCGAUAGAACAUUCUGGACUAGGAAGGUAUGGGGAUGCUCUGAAUCCGUGGGGCGAUUUAAUAGUAGUGGCUAGGGCUUGGUGUGUAACAAAAACAAAUGGAUCUCUGGUACUCGGUGUACUAUACGACAUAAAUAGAGAUUACAUUACAUUCAAUGCACACAGGUGUUAUGGUAAAAAAAGAUACCCAUAUCUGACAACAAAUUGGAUUCAACAUUAUUUGGGGAAAGGACUUCAACGUGUUCAUGUGUUUACAAAAUAGACUUAUUCAUAAUAUUAUCUUACAUUAAUAUGCCUGAUUAUAUUAUGAUAGAAACGGAGGUACACAAAAUUUCAUAUCAAUCAUAACUCCAUAAUAAUGACGCAACAAGACAUCUCAUCGACGUUGCAGUAAUUUAUCAAUAUCGUGUGCAUCUCGUUAGACGUCGUAUAAAUUACCUUUGGGUCCUCAAUGCUGUUAAACUUCGUACUUUAUUUUGACUUUUAACUUUUUUAUUCAAUCGUCGCUGUCUUUUGAAGACAAAACGCACGUCUAGCGUACUAAAUUAUAAGUCUGGUAUCUUUGAUGACUUUUUAAUGAGCAAUUUCAGUUGCAGCUCGUACAAGUUUCAACCACAUUCAGAUUCAAGGUGCGCUCAACACUCAUAUACACUAGCAUAUGAAUGACCGGAUGACCUGACCUUGACCUCACUUUCGUCAUUGAUUGAUUAACAUAUUUGAUAUACCAUCAGAUUCUUAUUUAUUAAAUGUAAUAGUAAAGUUCGUACAUGA